AUUGAACGCUGGCGGCAGGCCUAACACAUGCAAGUCGAGCGAGCGGCGGACGGGUGAGUAAUGUCCGGGAAACUGCCCGAUGGAGGGGGAUAACUACUGGAAACGGUAGGCAAUACCGCCUACCAUCAGAUGUGCCCAAAUGGGAUUAGCAAGUAGGUGGGGUAACGGCUCACCUAGGCGACGUUCCCGAGCUGGUCUGAGAGGAGGACCAGCCACACUAGAAUUGUGACACGGUCCAGACUCCUACGGGAGGUAGCGGUGGGAGAUAUUGCACAAUGGGCGCACGGCCGAGGCAGGUACGCCGAGUGGGGGAUGAAGGCUUUCGUGUUAUAAACCUCUUUGGCUAUCGAACGGGUAGGUGGAGAAGAAGCGCCGGCUAACUACGUGCCAGCAGCCGCGGUAAUAC
rnacentral:rRNA from 1 species